rnacentral:rRNA from 1 species
GAUGAACGCUGGCGGUGUGCCUAAUACAUGCAAGUCGAACGGACUCUUAUCUGAUCCUUGUCUCAGACCUUUACGGGUCGGAGCUAUGGAUCGGUAAGAGUUAGUGGCGGACGGGUGAGUAACACGUUGGUACCUGCCCCGAAGUGGGAAGUAACUGCCCGAAAGGGUAGCUAAUACCGCAUAAUACCGCAAGGUUAAAGCAGUAAUGCGCGUUCGGGGAGGGGCCGU